rnacentral:misc_RNA from 1 species
GAUGAAGAACGUAGCGAAAUGCGAUACGUAAUGUGAAUUGCAGAAUUCAGUGAAUCAUCGAGUCUUUGAGCGCACAUUGCGCCCCCUGGUAUUCCGGGGGGCAUGCCUGUCCGAGCGUCAUUGCUGCCCUCAAGCACGGCUUGUGUGUUGGGCCUCCGUCCUCCUCCCGGGGGACGGGCCCGAAAGGCAGCGGCGGCACCGCGUCCGGUCCUCGAGCGUAUGGGGCUUCGUCACCCGCUCUUGUAGGCCCGGCCGGCGCUUGCCGACACAUCAAUCUUUUUUCCAGGUUGACCUCGGAUCAGGUAGGGAUACCCGCUGAACUUAAGCAUAUCAAUAAGCGGAGGA